AUUGAACGCUGGCGGCAUGCCUUACACAUGCAAGUCGAACGGCAGCACGGGUGCUUGCACCUGGUGGCGAGUGGCGAACGGGUGAGUAAUACAUCGGAACAUGUCCUGUAGUGGGGGAUAGCCCGGCGAAAGCCGGAUUAAUACCGCAUACGAUCUACGGAUGAAAGCGGGGGACCUUCGGGCCUCGCGCUAUAGGGUUGGCCGAUGGCUGAUUAGCUAGUUGGUGGGGUAAAGGCCUACCAAGGCGACGAUCAGUAGCUGGUCUGAGAGGACGACCAGCCACACUGGGACUGAGACACGGCCCAGACUCCUACGGGAGGCAGCAGUGGGGAAUUUUGGACAAUGGGCGAAAGCCUGAUCCAGCAAUGCCGCGAGUGUGAAGAAGGCCUUCGGGUUGUAAAGCACUUUUGUCCGGAAAGAAAUCCUUGGCUCUAAUACAGUCGGGGGAUGACGGUACCGGAAGAAUAAGCACCGGCUAACUACGUG
rnacentral:rRNA from 1 species